CGCGAAUGGCUCAUUACAACAGCUAUAAUUUACUUGAAUUUGACAACCCUACUUGGAUACCGGUGGUAAUUCUAGCGCUAAUACAUGCACCAAAGCUCCGACCGCGAGGGAAGAGCGCAUUUAUUAGAACAAAACCACACGGCUUCGGCCGUCCAAUGUUGACUCAGAGUAACUAAGCUGAUCGCAUGGUCUUGCACCGGCGACGUUUCUUUCAAGUAUCUGCCUUAUCAACUUUCGAUGGUAGUGUAUCUGACUACCAUGGUGAUGACGGGUAACGGAGGAUAAGGGUUCGACUCCGGAGAAGGGGCCUGAGAAAUGGCCACUACGUCUAAGGAUGGCAGCAGGCGCGCAAAUUACCCACUCUCAGUACGAGGAGGUAGUGACGAGAAAUAACAAGACCGUUCUCUUAUGAGGCCGGUCAUUGGAAUGGGUACAAUUUAAACCCUUUAACGAGUAUCUAUGAGAGGGCAAGUCUGGUGCCAGCAGCCGCGGUAAUUCCAGCU
rnacentral:rRNA from 1 species